GACGAACGCUGGCGGCGUGCUUAACACAUGCAAGUCGAACGGAAAGGCCCUGCUUUUGUGGGGUGCUCGAGUGGCGAACGGGUGAGUAACACGUGAGUAACCUGCCCUUGACUUUGGGAUAACUUCAGGAAACUGGGGCUAAUACCGGAUAGGAGCUCCUGCUGCAUGGUGGGGGUUGGAAAGUUUCGGCGGUUGGGGAUGGACUCGCGGCUUAUCAGCUUGUUGGUGGGGUAGUGGCUUACCAAGGCUUUGACGGGUAGCCGGCCUGAGAGGGUGACCGGCCACAUUGGGACUGAGAGACGGCCCAGACUCCUACGGGAGGCAGCAGUGGAGAAUAUUGCACAAUGGGCGGAAGCCUGAUGCAGCGACGCCGCGUGCGGGAUGACGGCCUUCGGGUUGUAAACCGCUUUCGCCUGUGACGAAGCGUGAGUAACGGUAAUGGGUAAAGAAGCACCGGCUAACUACGUG
rnacentral:rRNA from 1 species